rnacentral:rRNA from 1 species
GGGGAUAACACUUGGAAACAGGUGCUAAUACCGCAUAACCAUAGUUACCGCAUGGUAACUAUGUAAAAGGUGGCUAUGCUACCGCUUUUGGAUGGGCCCGCGGCGCAUUAGCUAGUUGGUGGGGUAAAGGCUUACCAAGGCAAUGAUGCGUAGCCGAACUGAGAGGUUGAUCGGCCACAUUGGGACUGAGACACGGCCCAAACUCCUACGGGAGGCAGCAGUAGGGAAUCUUCCACAAUGGGCGAAAGCCUGAUGGAGCAACGCCGCGUGGGUGAAGAAGGUCUUCGGAUCGUAAAACCCUGUUGUUAGAGAAGAAAGUGCGUGAGAGUAACUGUUCACGUUUCGACGGUAUCUAACCAGAAAGCCACGGCUAACUACGUGCCAGCAGCCGCGGUAAUACGUAGGUGGCAAGCGUUAUCCGGAUUUAUUGGGCGUAAAGGGAACGCAGGCGGUCUUUUAAGUCUGAUGUGAAAGCCUUCGGCUUAACCGGAGUAGUGCAUUGGAAACUGGGAGACUUGAGUGCAGAAGAGGAGAGUGGAACUCCAUGUGUAGCGGUGAAAUGCGUAGAUAUAUGGAAGAACACCAGUGGCGAAAGCGGCUCUCUGGUCUGUAACUGACGCUGAGGUUCGAAAGCGUGGGUAGCAAACAGGAUUAGAUACCCUGGUAGUCCACGCCGUAAACG